CGUGUAGGCGGUCGAUCAAGUCCGGUGUGAAAGCCCGGGGCUCAGCUCCGGAAGGGCACCGGAAACUAGUCGACUUGAGCGCGAGUAGAGGAGGGUGGAAUUCCUGGUGUAGCGGUGAAAUGCGUAGAUAUCAGGAGGAACAUCGGCGGCGAAGGCGGCCCCCUGGCUCGUUGCUGACGCUGAGACGCGAAAGCGUGGGGAGCAAACAGGAUUAGAUACCCUGGUAGUCCACGCUGUAAACGAUGGGUACUAGGUGUUCGGGGUGUUGACCCCCUGACGUGCCGACGCUAACGCAUUAAGUACCCCGCCUGGGGACUACGGCCGCAAGGCUAAA
rnacentral:rRNA from 1 species